GAUGAACGCUGGCGGCGUGCCUAAUACAUGCAAGUCGAGCGAAUGACGAGGAGCUUGCUCCUCUGAUUUAGCGGCGGACGGGUGAGUAACACGUGGGUAACCUGCCUGUAAGACGGGGAUAACUCCGGGAAACCGGAGCUAAUACCGGAUGAUAACGAGAAGCGCCUGCUUCUUUUUUGAAAGUCGGUUUCGGCUGACGCUUACAGAUGGCCCCGCGGCGCAUUAGCUAGUUGGUGAGGUAACGGCUCACCAAGGCGACGAUGCGUAGCCGACCUGAGAGGGUGAUCGGCCACACUGGGACUGAGACACGGCCCAGACUCCUACGGGAGGCAGCAGUAGGGAAUCUUCGGCAAUGGACGAAAGUCUGACCGAGCAACGCCGCGUGAGCGAUGAAGGCCUUCGGGUCGUAAAGCUCUGUUGUCAGAGAAGAACAAGUACCGGAGUAACUGCCGGUACCUUGACGGUACCUGACCAGAAAGCCACGGCCAACUACGUGCCAGCAGCCGCCGUAAAAC
rnacentral:rRNA from 1 species